AUUGAACGCUGGCGGGAGGCCUAACACAUGCAAGUCGAGCGCGCGGCGGACGGGUGUGUAAUGUAUGGGGACUGCCCGAUAGAGUGGGAUAACUCUUGGAAACGGUAGCUCUAACCGCAUACUCUCUUAUAACCCCUAUUGGAGUAGCUAGUCGGUGAGGUAAUGGCUCACCUCGGCGACGAUCCCUAGCUGGUCUGAGAGGAUGAUCAGCCAAACUGGGACUGAGACACGGCCCAGACUCCUACGGAGGCAGCAGUGGGGAAUAUUGCACAAUGGGCGAAAGCCUGAUGCAGCCAUGCCGCGUGUAUGAAGAAGGCCCUAGGGUUGUAAAGUACUUUGAGUAGGGAGGCGUUACCGACAGAAGAAGCACCGGCUAACUACGUGCCAGCAGCCGCGGUAAUAC
rnacentral:rRNA from 1 species